CACGAACUCAGAGGGUCAAGGGCCGGUCAAUGUGCACAUGCAUGUUCGUUCUCCUCUGGCAGCUGUGUUAAGGCCUCAAUCCGGAUAAAACAAAAGCAAUAAUGUAUGUAGGUCUUCCCGAAGCAGCGGUUCAGAAUGAUCCCACACUGUGAGCAAUUCUGCCAAGAAACAGAGAGUAAGGAGAGACAUUCAGAAGACUCAGAAGCCAACACAACAAGGUUCAGGAAACUGAAUGCUUAGAGACUAGAGAGGCCUGUGUCUGUUCCUGAGUGGUGCUGAUGGAAAACGAUGAAGAUCCUGUUGAAGUCCUCAAUCCUGUGUACCUAUGUGAAGGAGAUAAGAUAAUAACCCUUCAAAAUAAUCCUGUUUGAAACAGAAACAUGGAGGCCUCCGUCUUGAACCUAUGUAUCUUCCUCUGAGAAAUCAUGCAAAAGAUUUUCCCCUGGGACAAGAGGGAAAUGGUCUGUGAAAGAAAGAACCUUCUACCUUCCAAGAUGCUGGCUUGUCAAUAGUUUUCAUGACCCACCCUCUCUCCCUAACUUCUUCCACCACUGUUAUUCAUCACUUCAUUCAUAGACUGAGUAGUCAACAGUGACGUGAAUCUUCUGGGAAUACACUGGUUUUUCCCCACGCUUGUAUUUAAUAAACAUGCCCGUGGCUUAGCAUGGGUAAAUCUGAACAGCAUCAGUUGUGUGUUUCUUGGGUGUUGUGUGAAUGACCCAGGCUAUCCCUAACAUUAGAAUCCAGAACUCAUAAAUGCUAAUCCUUAGGGAUAAUGGUAACAUCAUCCUUGCAAUCCAU
rnacentral:lncRNA from 1 species